AUUACGAACAGACUGUUCGGAGCGAGACGAUGAACAUCGAAAAAUUGAGAGAGAGCUCAAUUGUUUAUUUGUUUGUCGUCAAUUUUCAAUUUGUGCUCUCUGUGUUCCUCCGUUCAUCUUGCUCCCUGUACCCUCGUGCCCACCACCAUCCUGGCUCUGGCUUUCUCCGCAAAUAUUUUGUUUGCAACUUGUUCCUUUUUUCUGCGAAACAAAACUUUGUGAUACGAACGGCGGGAGGGGGAGGUAAACUAGACCGGCUGACUGA
ensembl:ncRNA C34D1.13 ncRNA